AUAUGGAGAGUAAACUCAUAUAUGGGGUCCUUUGGAACCCUAAACCCAAGUACCUUGUCCCACAAUAGCUUAGAUGCAAUCCUUAGGGCUUAAAACACUUAUAUAAAGUGUUUAUUAUGUCUAGGAUGUCUUAACAUUAUCAAUUAGUAAUUUAAGACUAAUUGAGUGCAUAUAUGUGUGAUUAUAUGUUCAUUAGGAUCGUAGUGUGUGUACAAGUCCUCGCUUGACACCUAGCAAUCCUAUACCGUUCAGUUCAUCCAAAUCACCAACUACAGGUGAGUUCAUACCCCUAAUCAAUGUUUUAAAUGAUUUUAAAUGCUUUAAUGGGGGGGGGAAUACAAGUAGAAAACAACAUGUUAUUAAAUCAUCUAUAUGUAUUUUAUAACUGUGUUUUCAUUCAACAGAUUUCACAUACUACAAAAUGUGAUGCAUGAAAUGGUUUUCUAUCUUUAAAAUACUUUGUUAUCAAAUGUAUUACUUUUGAAAUGUUUAUCAAAAUGACAUCAAGUCACUUUUAUAUUUGUUCAAAACCCUUAGAUGUCUUACAAAACCAUUUUACAUUCUUGAACUAAACUAUGCAUAUACACUUAUAUUCUUAUAUAUGUAUUGAUGUUAUAGUUUACAACUUUCAUUUAGUUUCUCACACCCUUGAGUAGUAAGAGUGUAUAAACCUACUUGAACAACCAAUUACCUUCCAGUAAAUUAUCAUAGGGAUAAUUUGGAGAUAUCAAACAUAAUUCCUAUUACAAGGAAUCACACAAGAGUCAGUUCAUUCAUGAGUCUAUACCAGUACAUUACCUGAUACAUGAGUACAUUUACAUUUGAUUACAUGAUACAUGAGUACGUUUACAUAUACUUACAUGAUACAUGAACACGCUUACAUGAACGCAUUACAUGAGUACCUUUACGUAGAUACACUUACCUGUGUAUAUUAACAUGAAUACUUGUAUCUCGAAUUGCGAGGAUGAUUUAUUAGUACCUUCUGUGUAAAUCUUCCUGCAUAUCCCUAGUACCUCGGGAUAUCUAGACAGGACCCUAUCCCUAGUACCUCGGGAUACCUAGAUGGGACCCUAUCCCUAGUACCUCGGGAUAUAUGGACGGGACUAACCAUUCCGGAACCCAGCUGUUAGCACCAGUGGGUGAUGAACAUCUACGGAUGCCUAAGGUUAAUACUUAUACUAGGGAGAUCGAUUUCGGGACUAACCCUCCCUCCACCCUGCUGCCGCUACAGAGGAUGAGUGGACAAUCUUCGGAUGUUCAUUAGGGUAUACCUUUCGCUUCGGCGAUGUCGUGUUAAUCCUGGUCACCCAGGGAUAACACUUACAUGAUUAUAUUUUUCCUAUUUUACUUUAUUUUGUGAUAUAUUCACAUAAACGAUGAGUUAGACUAAGCACUUUUAGUACUAGUCAAUAGAAAGGAAAAGCUAUCAUUUUACUUACAGAACAUUUAAGUCUUGGUAGAAGACUAUCAUAUCAUUUUCCUAUUUUACUUUAUUUUGUGAUACAUUCACCUAAACAAAGAGUUAGACUAAGUACUUUUAGUACUAGUCAAUAGAAAGGAAAAACUAUCAUUUUACUUACAAAACAUUCGGGUCUUGGUAGAAGACUACAUUGUCAUAACAAAACAUUCGGGUCUUGGUAGAAGACUACAUUGUCAUAACAAAACAUUCGGGUCUUGGUAGAAGACUACAUUGUCAUAACAAAACAUUCGGGUCUUGGUAGAAGACUACAUUGUCAUAACAAAACAUUCGGGUCUUGGUAGAAGACUACAUUGUCAUAACAAAACAUUCGGGUCUUGGUAGAAGACUACAUUGUCAUAACAAAACAUUCGGGUCUUGGUAGAAGACUACAUCUCAAACUGAUAGAAAAUAAGGGAUUUUCUAGGGCUUUUCAUACUUACAUCAACAUUUUCAUUUAAAGGUUUGCAUGACUUUUAAAACAGCUUUUAAUAAGCAAGACAAUGACACUUAAAUACUUAUGAAUUCACCAGCUUUAAAGCUGAUACUCUCUUUCAAAAUAACUUGUAUUCUCAGGUCAACAGUAGACAGGUACGAUGGCCAGGUUUUGAGAAGACGGAGCAGACAAGUCUCGUCUUUUAUUUUGAUUGUAUAUUUUUGGUGUCUUACUACAAUGAAAGAACACACAUGUAUUAAAACUUUACUUAUAAUGCAAUGGAUGAUGUUGUUGCUUGUUUAUUAUAUUACACUGUUGUGAUACUGUACAUGACGUCCUCCACCCCUGAACGUUUCCGCCGUUCGUGGUUUUGGGGUGUGACAGAUUGGUAUCAGAGCAUUGUUUAUAGUGAAUAUAGUAUAUCAACCCAUAAAAGAUAUACUAACUAUAAAUACAUUGGGAUUAAAACACUCUGUCUAAGAGUUAUACUUUUAAAUAAUAAAAUAUUUAAGUAAGUAUACGUGCCUGCAUUCAUACUAAAAUCAGUGUCACAAUGACAAGAACAAAAGUAUUACGAUUGUUGAAUAUCACAAGUAAGCCUGGGGAUAUAUGGUCAGUCUUGGGAAUGGCAUAGCCUGAUCAACUAUGCUGGUCCGAGGAGUGAUUAGCAUAUGCCCAAGAAUGGUUGUGAUAUGGCAACAAGUCUAAAAACUUACCAACACAACCAUAAAGAAAUACCAUAGGGGUAUUUGGUCUUACUGUAAUUAUCUUAGUUAGUUCGUCUAUUUUAGCUAUUUCUUAUAUCCCUUUUCUCGCGUAGAUUAAAAUGGCUGGAUUUCACCAUGGCGAUCCGUACUUCCCAAACCAAGGCAAUGCUGGUUGGCUAGAGGCAGAACCAGAAGAUGAUCACCCAAUCCCUUUGGAUGAUCACCAUGCUGAGGGUUUUUCUGAUAGUUCUGACUCGAAGCCAGAAGUCAACAACCUACCCCCAAAUGCUCAAAACCCAAACCUGAACCCUGUCCCGCAAUGGAGACCGAAGUUUCUACAACCUCACUGAAGGAGGUUCUGCUGAUAGAGUCCUAUCCAUCAUGGUGCCUAGGAUUUCUCGGAACACGAUAAUGGCUCAGGCGACUAUCAAUCAAGUCUUGGAAGUUGACGCCAACUUUGGUGUUAACACUGUCCACAUUCGCCAACUAGAGUCUGCUCAUGAAAGGACUCUGGUCCGCAAUGCAAAUCUGCAGAGGGAACUUGCUGAAAUCCGAGCUGAAGUUAGAGGACUUCGAGCUCAGCAAGCAAGGUCGUAUAAGCGCAUAAGGGACAUUGAAUGUCUACUGUCGGGAUCAAGAACUCAUGCUAGCAGUUCUCGUCGCCGAUAGAAUCUCGUCGACUCAUCUUUUGGAUAUAACCUAGUUUAUGUAAAACUUUGGUCUAAUUUCCUAUAUGUAUAAAUCCUAGACCUGUUAGGUCUUGAUCUAGUCUUAUUUCUGUCAAAAUUUUCCAUCUUGGUUGAUGUAAGGCCUACUUCUAGGCCAUUUUUCCCGAACUUGUUACAUCUGUAAUUCCAGUAUUUUUGACAGAUAUCUAAUCUUAUGGAAAUCAUUAUCUAAAUGCUGUCAUCUUCAUUUAACCAUUCUAUUCAUUCUGUUGUUCGACUAUGGGGAGUUAGUGCAUGAGACACAUUCAUUAAUCAUUUAUUCUUAUCCAUGUCGUCAUCUUUUAAACGUAUAGUUAAAGAUGCCGCCACGCAGGAAUCCAAGGCGAAACCCAAACAACGAAACACCGAUACCACCACCUCCACCACCACCUGAACCUCUUCAACCACCAAAUCCUUUCGAUGCAAACAUGUUCCAGGCAGCUUUCACAGCAACAGUUGCAGCUGCUGUGUCAGCAAUCAACGCUCCUGCCCCUAGUGGAUUAGGAACAGGUGUACCUCCCUCGAACCACGGCGAAAGCCAUGGACACCCACAGGAAUGCACCUACAAGGACUUCACGAACGCCAAACCCCACAGCUUCAAUGGAACUAGGGGUGUUAUGGUGUUGAGACAAUGGAUUGAAAAGAUGGAAUCCGUCUUUGAAAUUUGUGCUUGCCAGGAGGGCAACAAGGUCAAGUUUGCAGCUUGUACCUUCUCUGACAGAGCACUAACAUGGGGGAACAGCCAUGUUAACUAUCUGACUUUGGUGGUGGCGUAUUCCAUCAGCUGGGAAAAGUUAAAGGACAUGCUGAUGAAAGAGUAUUGUCCUUGAGGCGAAGUACAAAAACUCGAGUAGGAAUUCUGGGGUCUACAAAUAGUUGGAUCCGACAUCACGACCUACACAAAUAGGUUCUGUGAUCUGGCAAACUUAUGCCCAGACAUGGUUGCUCUCCAGAGCAAAAAGAUAGAGAGAUAUAUCUGGGGACUGUCGCCCCAGAUCCAGUCAAGUGUGAUAGCUUCCAGGCCUAUUACUUUCGAUAGUGCCAAAGAGCUAGCACAAUCUCUCAUAGACCACAGGAAACCUCAAAACCCAUCAAUCCCUAUACCCGUACCACAAAAGUCCAACCCCGACCACAACAGGAAGGGGUGGAAUAAGAGGAAAAGAGGGGCUUCGCAAGGAUCCUCCAAGAAACAACAACUUGUGGCGAUCAAUGCUGCCACAGUUACUCCCAUUGUCCCUGCGAACCUCUUUCCAGCAAAACCAUAUGCUGGAACUCUUCCGAAGUGCACCAAGUGCAACUUCCACCACCACGGACCUUGCAAGGAAAUGCAGUGCUCUAACUGUAACAGGAAGGGACAUACAGUCCGUUUCUGCAAGACUCCAACAGCUCAAGCCGCCCAGGUUCCUAACGCCAGUAUAGGCCAAACUUGCUACGGUUGUGGCAAGGUGGGCCACUACAAGAGGAACUGCCCUAAAGCAGGGAUGGCUGGAGGAGUAGGAAGAGUUAUGGCCCUAGGCCACGAGGAAGCGGUAGCUGAUCCUACGAUAAUUACUGGUACGUUUCUCCUCGAUAACUCAUAUGCUUGCAUACUUUUCGAUAGUGGAGCCGAGAAAAGUUUUGUAAGUCACAAAUUUGCACACCUGCUUAAACAAAAACCAUGUGUAUUAGAUAAUUCAUUCACGGUAGAAAUGGCUAACGGGAAAACAGAGAGUACAAACUGCAUAUACGUAGGUUGUACCUUAACUUUAGAUGGCCAUACUUUCAAGAUAGAUCUCAUGCCAGUCACAAUUAAAUGUUUCGACGUUAUCAUCGGUAUGGAUUGGUUGAGUCUUCUGCGUGCCGACAUUAUGUGCUUCGAAAAAGCAGUUCGUCUUAACCUUCCUAACAACGAAACCUUAGUUAUCUACGGCGACAAACCUAGUACGAGCCUUCGCAUCAUUUCGUGCAUUCAAGCCCAGAAGUGCUUGCGGAAGGAGUACCAUGCAUUCCUCGCACACGUCGUCGAUACCAGUCAAGAACUGAAAGUCAUCUAGAAAAUCCCAGAAGUACGCGACUUUCCCGACAUAUUUCCAGAAGAACUUCCAGGUUUACCACCACAACGCCAAAUCGAGUUCAGAAACGACUUAGUGCCAGGGGCUACCCCCGUAGCCAAAUCUCCUUAUCGUCUGGCACCGGCUGAAAUGCAAGAACUUUCCAGUCAACUUAACGAACUUCUCAAGAAGGGAUUCAUUCGACCAAGCUUCUCACCAUGGGGAGCACCGGUCUUGUUCGUCAAGAAGAAAGAUGGAUCGUUUCGCAUGUGCAUCGACUAUAGAGAACUCAACAAACUUACCAUUAAAAAUCGUUAUCCCUUGCCCCGCAUUGACGAUUUAUUUGAUCAACUUCAAGGAGCCAACUACUUCUCGAAGAUAGAUCUGCGAUCCGGAUAUCACCAACUAAGAGUGUUAGAGGAGGAUAUUCCCAAGAAAGCCUUCCAAACUCGUUAUGGGCACUACGAAUUUGUAGUGAUGCUGUUCUGAUUAACUAACGCGCCCACAAUAUUCAUGGAUCUGAUGAAUAGGGUGUGUCGUCCUUAAUUCGAUUAGUCCGUCAUCGUCUUCAUUGAUGACAUACUCAUCUACUCUCGAAGUAAGGAAGAACAUAGCCAACAUCUCCGUAAAAUCUUAGAAACAUUGCGAUCGGAGAAGCUCUACGCGAAGUUCUCAAAGUGCGAAUUUUGGAUUCGGCGAGUCGAAUUUUUGGGCCAUGUUGUUAGCGAAGAAGGUAUACACGUGGACCCUUCCAAAAUUAAGGCCAUCGAGAACUGGUCAGCACCAAAGACACCUACUGAAAUUCGUCAAUUUCUAGGUCUAGCUGGCUACUAUCGCAGGUUCAUUCAGAACUUCUCCAGCAUAGCGAAACCUCUUACAACCCUGACCCAGAAAGGCGUGGCCUUCGACUGGGAGGAGAAACAGGAAAGAGCGUUCCAAACGCUCAAACGAGCCUUGUGCACCGCCCCGAUACUAUCCCUUCCCGAAGGAAUAGAAGACUUCAUUGUCUAUUGCGAUGCAUCCAAUCAAGGACUCGGAUGUGUUCUGAUGCAGCGAGGUAAAGUCAUAGCCUAUGCCUCGAGACAACUGAAGGCACAUGAGGUUAACUACACAACCCACGAUAUUGAACCAGGAGCAGUUGUGUUUGCUCUGAAGAUCUGGCGCCAUUACCUGUACGGUACAAAAAGCACGAUCUUUACAGACCAUAAGAGUCUGCAACACAUUUUCGACCAGAAGGAGCUCAACAUGAGACAACGACGGUGGGUCGAGCUACUUAGUGAUUACGAGUGCGAAAUUCGUUAUCAUCCGGGUAAAGCCAAUGUAGUAGCCGACGCCCUAAGUCGGAAAGAAUAUACUGGUCGUAGAGUCAAAUCUUUGACUCUAACUAUCCAUUCACACUUGUCCACGCAAAUAAAGGAGGCUCAGCUCGACGCUUUGAAACCUGAAAACGUGGCUGGUGAAUCCCUUAGAGGGAUGGAUAAGAACUUGGAAGUCAAGGGUGGCGGAGCCUUAUACCUCAUGGAUCGGAUCUGGACACCGAAACACGGUGGCUUCAGAGACUUGGUCAUGACCGAAGCUCACAACACUCGUUAUUCCGUCCACCCGGGUUCAGAUAAGAUGUAUCUGGAUCUUAAAAAGUUAUACUGGUGGCCUAACAUGAAAGCAGAUAUUGCUACCUUCGUGAGUAAAUGCCUUACUUGCGCAAAGGUCAAGGUCGAAUACCAGAAACCCUCCGGUCUUCUACAACAACCGGAGAUACCAGAAUGGAAGUGGGAGCGGAUCACUAUGGACUUCAUAACCAAGUUGCCCAAGACGACGGGUGGACUUGAUUCCAUAUGGGUCAUCGUCGAUAGACUGACCAAGUCUGCACACUUCCUACCGAUCAAAGAAACAGACAAGAUGGAGAAACUUACCAGAACUUACAUUAGGGAGAUUGUAAGGCUGCACGGUGUUCCUUUAUCUAUCAUCUCAGACCGAGAUAGUAGAUUCACUUCGAGGUUCUGGCAGUCAUUACAAAGUUCCCUAGGAACUAGGCUGGACAUGAGUACAGCCUACCAUCCACAGACCGACGGGCAAAGUGAGAGGACUAUCCAAACCUUAGAAGAUAUGUUGCGUGCCUGUGUGAUUGACUUUGGAAAAGCUUGGGAUACUCAUUUACCCCUUGUUGAAUUUUCCUACAACAACAGUUAUCAUACGAGCAUAAAGGCAGCUCCAUUCGAGGCCCUCUAUGGCCGAAAGUGCAGAUCCCCUCUGUGCUGGGCUGAAGUGGGUGAUACCCAGUUAGCUAAGGGACGAGUUCCCGAAAGCACUCUCACGGGUCCGGAGAUCAUUCGGGAAACGACAGAGAAGAUCUUUCAAAUUCGUGAACGAUUGAAAGCCUCUAGAGACCGACAGAAAAGCUACGCUGACAAGCGUAGGAAACCAUUGGAGUUACAGGUCGGCAACCGAGUCCUACUGAAGGUCUCACCCUGGAAGGGCUUGAUACGCUUUGGGAAGCAUGGGAAGCUCAAUCCAAGAUACAUAGGGCCUUUCGAGAUUCUCGCAAGAAUCGGCCCUGUGGCUUACAAGCUCAAUCUACCGCAAGAACUCAGUAACGUACAUCCUACCUUCCACGUGUCAAACUUGAAAAAGUGUCUAUCCGACGAGACUCUUGUUAUUCCACUCGACGAGAUCGAGAUCAACGAGAGCCUCAACUUCGUGGAGGAACCAGUAGAGAUCAUGGACCGAGAGGUCAAGCAAACAAAGCAGAGCUGUAUCCCGAGAGUGAAGGUGCGCUGCAACGCAAAGCGUGGACCGGAAUUCACUUAGGAAUGUGAGAAUCAGAUGAAACUGAAAUAACCUCACCUUUUCGCUUAGUUAUUUGUAAUUUUUAUUUCCUUAAAUUCUAAUUUCGGGACGAAAUUCCUUCUAACGGGGGGAUGAUGUGACAACCCGAAAUUUCCAUUCUGUACAAACUAUAUCACUUCAAUAGAAGUUAUAGCAGUCACAGUUAAUUUUCAGACUUUUUCGCGUAAGUUUGAGUAAUUCAGGGUUUACACUUCAGGAAAUAUCAGGAGAGUGGGUGCACAAGGGUUUUGUGCAACACUGUUAUUCCAACAGUCUAUUAUAUUAGAGAUCAUUUCAGGAAUAAAAUAUUUUCUGCCAAAAAUAUAUCAGGACAAUAAAUAGAAUUCUGAACCAAAUUCAUUCAUUAUUCGCAUUUCCAACCAAAGAAAAGCCAUUUUCUUUCUCACAGAUCUUCGGGUUUUUAUCCCAAAUCAUGAGUACCUCUUUCUAGUAGUGUUAGAAAGCUUUAUAUGUGUUAAUAACAUGAUUUAGAAGGCUAAAUCACUAGAUUUAGGAGUUUACUCCCCAAGGUGUUCUUGGGCGGUAAACUCCCGAAACGAANUGGGCGGUAACCUCCCGAAACGAAGCCUAGACCGACCCUUGUGUUAUACUACUGCCUUAGACUCAUUUAUAAAUGUGUUAGGGACAUGAAAUCAAGCAAAUACCACCCAAGUUUGGGAGUUCACGGCCCAAGAGUUUCUUAGGCCGUAAACUCCAAUUUCAAGCUCAAAAUGGUGCUUUUAAUACACCUAAAGCCCUAGACAUUUACUAGGAAUUGUUCCCACUUAAUUGAAGGAAAAAAACACAUCAAAAUCACCUCUUGAAGUGAGUUUACGGCCCUGGUAAUGCUCCUAGGCCGUAAACACCAAACAAGGGCACCAAAGUGUGCCUAGGGUCCUCAUUAGCUUUAAACAAAUGUCUAGAACCUAUCCUUCAAAUGCAAGAGACUUGAAAACAACAAAAACACCAUUCCAAGGGAGUUUACGGCCGUAAACUCCAAAGGAAAUGGCCUUGGGGCCGUAAACUCCUCUAGGGAGUGUUUCUAGGCCUUAAACCCUUUCAAGAAUUGAACCACCAAGUUGGAAUAAUUCUAGGAAUCAUUUGGAACUUCAAAACACACAAUACACCCAUGGUUGGGAGUUUACGGCCGUAAACUCAAGAGUUUACAACCGUAAACUCCAUGUGUGUUGGUAUAUGAGGAGUAAACUCAUAUAUGGGGUCCUUUGGAACCCUAAACACAAGUACCUUGUCCCACAAUAGCUUAGAUGCAAUCCUUAGGACUUAAAACACUUAUAUAAAGUGUUUAUUAUGUCUAGGAUGUCUUAGCUUUAUCAAUUAGUAACUUAAGACUAAUUGAGUGCGUAUAUGUGUGAUUAUAUGUUCAUUAGGAUCGUAGUGUGUGUACAAGUCCUCGCUUGACACCUAGCAAUCCUAUACCGUUCAGUUCAUCCCAAUCACCAUCUACAGGUGAGUUCAUGCCCCUUAAUCAAUGUUUUACAUGAUUUUAAACGUUUUAACGGGGGGGAAUACAAGUAGAAAACAAUAUGUUAUUAAAUCAAUCUUAUGUAUUUUAUAACUGUGUUUUCACUCAGUAGAUUUCACAUAUUUCAAAAGGUGACACAUGA
rnacentral:lncRNA from 1 species